rnacentral:lncRNA from 1 species
GAGGUCGUCCACUUCUGGUGCUGCCGCAGGUCUCGGUGCCGAGAACGGUAGUGAGAGCGUGGGUGCAAAGGGGGGCAAUGUCGGGAAGGGUGGGCGUGGUGUUACCGGGCACUUUUUAUUCGGGAAGCCGCUGCGUGAGGGGGCAGCUCAGGCUGAGUUACCCUGGAGCAGCAGGUCGUGGCAGCCCAUCCGGAGCUGGGGAAAAAGGAGGUGGUCAAU